GAUGAAGAACGCAGCGAAAUGCGAUAAGUAAUGUGAAUUGCAGAGUUCAGUGAAUCAUCGAAUCUUUGAACGCACAUUGCGCCCCCUGGUAUUCCGGGGGGCAUGCCUGUCCGAGCGUCAUUGCAACCUUCAAGCGCGGCUUGUGUGUUGGGUCUCGUCCCCCGUGGACGGGCCCGAAAGGCAGUGGCGGCGUCCCGACAUGGUGCCCGAGCGUAUGGGAAUCCUCUUCCGCUCGAAUCGGCCCAUGCGGCGCUGGUCGUAACCAAAUUUUUUACCGGUUGACCUCGGAUCAGGUAGGGAUACCCGCUGAACUUAAGCAUAUCAAUAAGCGGAGGA
rnacentral:misc_RNA from 1 species